AGCUCCAAUAGCGUAUAUUAAAGCUGUUGCAGUUAAAAAGCUCGUAGUUGGAUCUCGGGCCAGGGCUUGCGGUCCACCGCGCGUGGUUACUGCUCGUCCCGACCUACCUACCGGUUUUCCCUUGAUGCUCUUAGGUGAGUGUCUCGGGUGGCCGGAAAGUUUACUUUGAAAAAAUUAGAGUGUUCAAGGCAGGCAGCACGCCUGAAUAAUGGUGCAUGGAAUAAUGUAAUAGGACCUCGGUUCUAUUUUGUGGGUUUUCGGAACCCCGAGGUAAUGAUUAAGAGGGACAGACGGGGGCAUUCGUAUUACGGUGUUAGAGGUGAAAUUCUUGGAUCUCCGUAAGACGAACUACUGCGAAAGCAUUUGCCAAGAAUGUUUUCA
rnacentral:rRNA from 1 species